AAUAGUGGUAAUAAUAAUAAUAAUAUGUAUAACACAGGGUGUUUUGUCAUUCCCUGUUCCCAACAGAGAAUAUCUGAGAAAUUUUCAUGGUUGACUUGGAACUCAAAAGUGCUGAAAGCCAGGCAGCAAGUCCCAGGAGGAGAGGAAUGAGUUAAUGAAGAAGGAGGAGUUUGAUUCUUCAGAGGAGAAAUUCUGACUGGAUUAAAGGAAGUGGCAACACUCCCAACAUUUUUAUUAAGGAAAUAGGAACAAAAUUCUCACAGCCUUCAAACAGAGCACAAUUCAGCACUGUACAUCAGGGAUCUGGUGCGAAGAGGUCUGGCUCCUCUCUGAGCUGAGCGGAGGCCUGCCAGGUUCACUAAGCAGCUGAUCUACACAUUUGGAACUUAACGGUGUUUGAUGAAGUAUAUCACGAGAGGCGUGGAGACAAGGGGUUACUCAACUGGUCUCACUACUGAACUGUUCUUACACCUCCAUCCAUACCAGCAUACCACCAGUGCCUGAGCGGGAGACAGUGAGCCCAUCAUUCCCUUUGCCCCUAUCUCCUUAUGUGCCUCUUUCUUGGAUGCUGGAUCUGCAGUUCCCAGGUCUACUAGAAAUUGUCAAAUCUUGGAAGUCCUUCUUGAGUGUGUCAGUGAGAUCAGGAGCUACAUGGUCACCCAACAGGAUAACCAGAGAGCCACACACUCUCCAAACAUCUACCACUUGAAAGGCAGUCAUUCAGCUGGAGAAACACCGACCUGACAGUCCGAAGAUCAGCCUUUUAUUCCUGUGCCUGAGUUUGGAGUUCUCAAUAAUUGUGUAUAAUUUCUUUUCUUUUGCAUUUCCUAAAUCCCUCAUCUCCUCCAUGACACUUCUUUCUUUUCUGAAUUUUAAGCCAUUCAUGACAAAAUUCUGACUGCUAGCAAUGGUUCU
rnacentral:lncRNA from 1 species